rnacentral:misc_RNA from 1 species
GAUGAAGAACGCAGCGAAAUGCGAUACUUGGUGUGAAUUGCAGAAUCCCGUGAACCAUCGAGUCUUUGAACGCAAGUUGCGCCCGAAGCCACUAGGCCGAGGGCACGCCUGUCUGGGCGUCACACGCCGUUGCCCCCCCAUCUACUCCUUCGGGAUUGCGGGGGGGCGGAUGAUGGCCUCCUGUGCGCCUAGCCGCGCGGUUGGCAUAAAUACCAAGUCCUCGGCGACGCACGCCACGACAAUCGGUGGUUGCGAAACCUCGGUUGCCCGUCGUGUGCGUUCGUCGCGCAUCGAGGGCUCGAAAAAAUGCUCGGCUCCGGCUGGGCUUUCAACGCGACCCCAGGUCAGGCGGGGUUACCCGCUGAAUUUAAGCAUAUCAAUAAGCGGAGGA